rnacentral:rRNA from 1 species
CCUACGGGAGGCAGCAGUGGGGAAUAUUGCACAAUGGGGGAAACCCUGAUGCAGCGACGCCGCGUGAGUGAAGAAGUAAUUCGUUAUGUAAAGCACUAUCAGCAGGGAAGAAAAUGACGGUACCUGAGUAAGAAGCCCCGGCUAACUACGUGCCAGCAGCCGCGGUAAUACGUAGGGGGCAAGGGUUAUCCGGAUUUACUGGGGGUAGAGGGAGCGUAGACGGCAGGGCAAGUCUGGAGUGAAAGGCGGGGGCUCAACCCCCGGACUGCUCUGGAAACUGUACGGCUGGAGUGCAGUAGAGGUAAGUGGAAUUCCUAGUGUAGCGGUGAAAUGCGUAGAGAUUAGGAGGAACACCAGUGGCGAAGGCGGCUUACUGGACUGUAACUGACGUUGAGGUGCGAAAGCGUGGGGAGCAAACAGGAUUAGAUACCCCUGUAGUC